UCUUAAUAGAAUUCAAAUGCCUGUUACUACUUGUGGUGGUUAGAAUAGGAAUGGCCCCCAUGGACUCACGUGUGUGAAUGCUUACCCCUCAGAGAGAGGCACUGUUAGGAGGUGUGGCCUUGUUGGAGGAAGUGUGUCACUCUGGGGGUGGGGCUUUGAGGUCUCAGACGCUCAAGCCAGGCCUACCUUUCCCUUCUGCUGCCUUUGGAUCAAGAUGCAGACCUCUCGGCUCCUUCUCCAGCACCCUGUGUGCCUGCACAGUGCCAUGCUUCCCGCCACGGUGACAAUGAACUUGAGACAUGUCUGCUCUUGGCAGUCUACUUCAGAGAAGAUGCUGGUCAUUGAAGACACUCACAUAGAGUUUGCUUUCUUUGUGGCAAAGUUUACAGGCUCAAAUAAAAGGUCGAGAAAGGGAAGAGGAGGCCACAGAGUUUGAGCUAGCUCCCGGUUUGGGUUCCAGUUGCAGCCUGCCUCCCUCUUACAAUCCUCCCAGACUGACAUCAGCAGGCAUGGAUGCUUCUCAUCGCCCUUCGACAUUCUGGUCUGGAUCAUGUUCCUUUAGAGGGAGAGUUGGGCUCUCCAGAUCGCAGAAUUUAGGGCUAGAAACAAGGGGUCCUCAGAAAGACAAAGGGGUGGUGUGCGAGCGACAAUAUAGCAGAUUCGUGAACGGCAUGUAUAUGCUUUUCCUCCACGUCAGAAUUUACCAAAUAACAAUGAAUUCACAAGCUACCCGCCAUGGUUGUCCCCAUGGGUUCCUGCCACCCCCACCCCCAGUUGGUGGCACUGUUUGGGGAGAUUAUGAACCUUGGGGGUGGAGCCAGCCUCUCUGGGGGAAGUGUGCCACUGGGGGCUGGUCUUUGAGUUUAUAUUCUAGCUCCUCUGCCAGUUCACGCCCUCUGCUUCCUGGCUAAGAUGCCAUCUCUCCGCUACUGUGGUUGCAGCUCCUGCUACAGUAACAGACUCUUUUAUUUCAAUCUUAAUUGUUGUUAUCUUAAAUGUUUCUUCUGCAUUUUAUGCAUAUGGGUGUCUUGUCUGCAUGUACUUCCGCUCACCAGAAAAAAAGGCAUCUCAUCUCAGAGGACUAGAGUUAUAGACAGAUGUGAGUCUUCAUGUCGUUUGUGUAGGUGCUGGGAAUUGAACUCAGGACCUCUGGAAGAGCAGUCAGUGCUCUUGAAUCACUGAGCUGAGUUUCCAGCCUUUGGUGUUAAUUAUUAAUAUGAACUCUUAGGCCACACAUUAUACUUUGUAGGAUAUGUUGCAAAAUUCAGUGUGUGUGUACAUGUGUGUUAUAGAACAUUAGUGUCCACGUGUGUUACAGAACAGCUGGUCACAAAGUUCACACUACUACUCUGGGAACAGGCAGAAAGCUGACAUAGAGGCAGGCAAGGAAGCCCCUCUAAGGGGUAGGUUGGAGGUAUUGUG
rnacentral:lncRNA from 1 species